GGAUGGCCGGGGACCUCGGGCGCCGCCUGCGGCUGUCGCACCCCGUCCUCCGGGUGACGUCGGAGGGGCCGGGCGGUUCGGCGCCGCUGGCCGUCCAC
rnacentral:tRNA from 1 species